rnacentral:lncRNA from 10 species
AUUUGUUUAAUAUUUUUAUGUAGUGCUUUACAUAAAUUGUAAUACUAUUAUUGCAAAAGCAGCUCAACCUUAUUACAGAAAGCAGAAAUACAGAAAAUUAUGUAAAAAGAAAGUCCAUUUUUCUCCUCUCCUUUGACCUGUCCGUCUCCCCUUCCCCCUUUUCCCUCCUCCCCCUUCUUUCCAUCCACCUGCUCACCUGUUUAAUCCUGUGAAGAAACAAUUCCGGAGGCUGGAAAUCCAGGAUCAGGAGCCAGCAUGUUCGGAUUCAGGCAGGGGACGUCUUCCGGCUUGCAGAUGGCUGCCUUCUCAUCAUGUCCUCACGUGACAGCAGGGAGGCACCAGCCCUCUGGCCUCUGCUUCUGCGGGGCAGGAGCCUGGGCCUGGCCUAGAGCCUGCUGCUGGAAGCCUCAUAGCCGGCUGUGGAUCCAUUCGCUGCCUGUGUUCUCAUCUGGAAGCUCCCCUGGGAGGAACCUGUCCUUUCCCUGUGGCUGUGGGCUGGAGGCCACCCCUAGGUCUGCCACAUGGCCCUCUCCGUGGGCAGUGCAACCUCAGCUCACUUCUUCCAGGCCACAGGAGACGCGCUCCAGCUAAGCAGUGUGGCCACCGAGUGACAUCCCUGUGGCAUAUCUUGUUGGCUAGAAGCAAGGCACAAGUCCCACCCAUGCUCAAGUGGAGGGGCUUACACAGGGUCCAAGAUCAUGAGAUUAUCUUGGAAUUCUGCCUACGACAGGGGCCUCCUCCCGUGUAUUUGUGUACACAGCCCUUCAUAUCCACAGAGACCUGAGAAGACGUUAUACACAGACCCACACACGAGGCUGGCUCUCUUGGCUGGGAAGCGUCUGGAGCUCUCCUCCCUUCCCCACGGGUCCUCGGGGUUUGGAGGCUGCAGGGAAGUUGCAUGGAGCUCUUCCGCUCACGUAUCUGUUUCUAUCCACGAAUUCAUCUGAGGGCUGAAAGGCCUCAUGGGAAAAAUGGGACUGAGCUCUGACCACUCCUAUCUCCCACCAGUGGCCCAAGUGGGUCAGUCCUAAUUCUGCAUUCCUCAGGACACAGUGUGGCUGAAGGGUGGGCAUGGGAUAUAGCCAGACCCACAGGGACUCUCCCAGGACUGCUGCUAGGGCUGGCAGGAGUCACAGCCUCUUCCUUCCCUGGCUGCAAGAUGUCCCUGGGCCUGCCAGGGCUGUAGGUCUAGCAGACAUGGCCAGAGUCUCUCAGCAGCAGGAGAGAUUGAAGCCAAAACCACGGGAGAAGCAGAGACAGUGACCUAAUGGCUCGCCUGAGCCCCUGGAUACGGCCAGGUCUGAAAUCCGCAGCGGACUCCCUCAUUGGGCUUGGAGGCUUCUCUGUGGCCUUCCCCAAAGGCAGCAUCAGGUAGGUGACAAUGAGGGUGGCUCAUGGGCUCAUGGGGGUGUUAGAGGAACCCCUGCUUACCAGGCCCCUGGUUUAAUAAAACAUGACUAGAGUGACUCCAUCUUGAAGUGAGUAGCUAGGCACUCACAAGAAUAUUCAAGGUCUGAAAAUAGCCACAUUCUAAGCCGACCACCAAUUAAAACAACAAAAAUAUCAUCUGCCACCACGCCUGCAGAAUGCCCACAUGUCUGGAGAAUACAGCCCUCUUUCCUUCAAGAUAACAUCGAUGAGCAAGCUUAGGUUGAAGGAUUAAUGGUCAUCAAUAACACCAAUAGCCCCGCCUCUAGUGAGCACAUCUGCACAUUCCAAGUUUCAUUACCACUCCUUAGAGUUUCUUUUUCUUUUUGAGACAGAUUUUCACUCUUGUCGCCCAGGCUGGAGUGCAGUGGUGCAAUCUUGGCUCACCACAACCUCCACCUCCUGGGUUCAGGUGAUUCUCCCGCCUCAGCCUCACGAGUAGCUGGGAUUACAGGCACGCGCCACAAUGCCCGGCUAAUUUUUUUUUUUUUUUUUUUUUUUUUUUAGUAGAGAGGGGGUUUCACCGUGUUGGUCAGGCUGGUCUUCAACUCCUGACCUCAGGUGAUCCGCCCGCCUCAGCCUCCCAAAGUGUUGGGAUUACAGGCGUGAACCACCGCGCCCGGCCUCCUUAGAGUUUCUUAUAAGCAGCGACACCAACACAGGACAGUGCACUCCUCCUCCUUCUUCCCGAGGAUGCCCCACUCUGUAACAGAGUCGUUUCCAGUAAACUCGCUUCUUUCACUGUGCUCUGUGAUUUGCCUUGAAUUCUUUCCUAUGCAAGAUCCAAGAAUCCUCUCGUGGGGUCUGGAUCGGGAAUCUCUUUUCCGGCAACAGGAGCACCCCCCUGGGAAACCAUAAGCACAUCUUGGGAAAGGCUAUGGUUCCCACUGGGAAAGGGAGUGGAGGCUGGCACCAUCCUUUCAGCUAUCAUGCUUAGAAAACCAGCUUUACGAAGAUACAACUUAUGCUCAAGAGGCUACAUUCAAUUAGAGUGGACAAUUCAAUGAGUGUUGACAGCUGUCCACACCUGUGACACUGCCACCAUAUUCGUGGCCCAGAACAUUUUCAUCCUGUUUCUUGUGCCCCUUUGCAGUGAAUUCUCCCCUGGAAUUACUGACAACCACAAAUCUGCUCUUUUGUCAUUAUAGAAGCUCAUAGAAAUGGAAUUAUACAAUUUGUACUCUUCUGUGUCUGUUUAUUCUUUUUCUGGGGGGGGGGGGGGCGGCGUUGCCCAGCAUCAUGUUUUUGAGAUGAAUCCAUGUUGAUGGAUGUACCAGUAAUUCUGUCUUUCUUGUUUUAUGUUUAUGUGGUUUUGCUGAAUAGUACUGUAGGGAUGUACCACAGUUGUUUUUUUGUUUUUUGGGUUUUCUUUUAAUCAGGGUCUUGCUCUGUCACCCAGGCUUGAUUGCAGUGGCAUACAACGUCCAGGCUCAAGCGAUCCUCCCACCUCAGCCUCUCAAGUAGCUGGGACUACAGGUGCAUGCCACCAUGCCCGGCUAAUUUUUGUGUGUGCAUAGAGAUGGGGUCUCACUAUGUUGUCAGGGCUGGUCUCAAACUCCUGGGCUCAAGCAAUCCUCCUGCCUUGGCCUCCCAAUGUGCUGGGGUUACAGGCGUCACCCACUGCGCCCAGUGCAUUCACUCUAGGGCUGUUUUGUUAAACCAGGGGCCUGGUAAGCAGGGGCUCCUCUAACACUCCCAUGGGCCCAUGAGCCACCCUCAUUGUUACCUGCCUGAUGCUGCGUUUGUUUAUCCAUUCAUCUGUUUGUGCACACUUGGGUUGCUUCCAGUUUUUGAUGUUUAGGAAUAAAGCUGCCAUGAAGAUUCACAUUCAAGUUUUUGUGUGGACAUGUGCUUUCAUUUCUCUUGGGUAAAACGUAGGCGCGGAAUUGCUGGGCCAUUCUUAAUUUUAGAAGAAGCCACCACAGUGUUGUUUCACAGCAGCUCCACCAUCUUGCACUCCCGAUGGCGGCGUGCAAGAGCCUCGGCUGCCCCACUCCUCCCCAGCACAUGACGUUGCUGCACCAGGGUGUCAUUUUCACUGUCCUAGGGGGGCCGAAGUGGCUUAUGAUUGUGGGUUUCAUUUGUAUUUGCCUGAUGACUAAUGAAGUGCGAUGAUUUUCGCAUGCUGUUUUGGCCUUCUGUAUGCAGUAUCUUCCUCUGUGAAGUGUCUGAUGGAUUCUUUUGCCAAUUUGUUUUUGUUGGGUUGUUCAUCGGGAUCAUGUUUUUAAUGGCAAACGUCAAAGCCAGCCCAUAUGUGUUCCCAUGACACCCCUGUCAUGUUUAUGCGUGCACUCAAGCGCACGUGCGUGCACCCACAUACCAAUUCUCUUUUUUUUUUUUUGUUUUUUUCGAGACGGAGUCUCGCU